rnacentral:rRNA from 1 species
GAUCAUGGCUCAGAUUGAACGCUGGCGGCGUGCUUAACACAUGCAAGUCGCGCGUGAAAGGACUUCGGUCCGAGUAAAGCGGCGCACGGGUGAGUAACGCGUGGAUGAUCUACCCAUGAGUUAGGAAUAACGGCUGGAAACGGUCGCUAAUACCAAAUACGCUCCGAUUUCAACUUCGGGGGAAAGGUGGCCUCUGCUUGCAAGCUACUGCCCAUGGAUGAGUCCGCGUCCCAUUAGCUAGUUGGUGGGGUAACGGCCCACCAAGGCGACGAUGGGUAGCCGGUCUGAGAGGAUGACCGGCCACACUGGGACUGGAACACGGCCCAGACUCCUACGGGAGGCAGCAGUGGGGAAUAUUGCGCAAUGGGCGAAAGCCUGACGCAGCGACGCCGCGUGAGGGGAAUGAAGGUCCUCGGAUCGUAAACCUCUGUCAGGAGGGAAGAACCGCCACGGUGCUAAUCAGCCGUGGUCUGACGGUACCUCCAAAGGAAGCACCGGCUAACUCCGUGCCAGCCGCGGC